UGCGGUGAUGGUGUAAUUUGCGUCUGACCUUGUGAACAGCGACAGUUGCCUGCUGUCUCCAUGCUGGCACGAGAGGCUGACGAACAUGAAAUUCUGAGCA